rnacentral:rRNA from 1 species
AACGCUAGCUACAGGCUUAACACAUGCAAGUCGCGGGGCAGCAUUUCCUUAGCUUGCUUUUUCUAGGCGUCGACCGGCGCACGGGUGAGUAACGCGUAUCCAACCUGCCCACCACUUGGGGAUAACCUUGCGAAAGUAAGACUAAUACCCAAUGACGUCUCUAGAAGACAUCUGAAAGGGAUUAAAGAUUUAUCGGUGAUGGAUGGGGAUGCGUCUGAUUAGCUUGUUGGCGGGGUAACGGCCCACCAAGGCAACGAUCAGUAGGGGUUCUGAGAGGAAGGUCCCCCACAUUGGAACUGAGACACGGUCCAAACUCCUACGGGAGGCAGCAGUGAGGAAUAUUGGUCAAUGGACGCAAGUCUGAACCAGCCAAGUAGCGUGCAGGAUGACGGCCCUAUGGGUUGUAAACUGCUUUUAUAAGGGAAUAAAGUGAGCCUCGUGAGGCUUUUUGCAUGUACCUUAUGAAUAAGGACCGGCUAAUUCCGUGCCAGCAGCCGCGGUAAUACGGAAGGUCCGGGCGUUAUCCGGAUUUAUUGGGUUUAAAGGGAGCGUAGGCCGGAGAUUAAGCGUGUUGUGAAAUGUAGAUGCUCAACGUCUGCACUGCAGCGCGAACUGGUUUCCUUGAGUACGCACAAAGUGGGCGGAAUUCGUGGUGUAGCGGUGAAAUGCUUAGAUAUCACGAAGAACUCCGAUUG